GAUGAACGCUGGCGGCGUGCUUAACACAUGCAAGUCGAACGAGAAAUGUAGACGGAAACCUUCGGGCGGAAGCCUUCAUUUCGAGUGGCGGACGGGUGAGUAACGCGUGGGUAACCUGCCUCAUACAGGGGGAUAACAGUUGGAAACGACUGUUAAUACCGCAUAAGACCACAGCAUCGCAUGAUGCGGGGGUAAAAACUCCGGUGGUAUGAGAUGGACCCGCGUUCGAUUAGCCAGAUGGCGGGGUAACGGCCCACCAAAGCGACGAUCGACAGCCGAACUGAGAGGAUGACCGGCCACAAUGGGACUAAGACACGGCCCAAACUCCUACGGGAGGCAGCAGUGGGGAAUAUUGCACAAUGGGGGAAACCCUGAUGCAGCGACGCCGCGUGAGUGAAGAAGUACUUCGGUAUGUAAAGCUCUAUCAGCAGGGGAGAAAAUGACGGUACCUGAGGAAGAAGCCCCGGCUAACUACGUG
rnacentral:rRNA from 1 species